rnacentral:rRNA from 1 species
GGGAGGUAGUGACAAUAAAUAACAAUACAGGGUCCUUAUGGGUCUUGUAAUUGGAAUGAGUACAAUUUAAAUCUCUUAACGAGGAACAAUUGGAGGGCAAGUCUGGUGCCAGCAGCCGCGGUAAUUCCAGCCCCAAUAGCGUAUAUUAAAGUUGUUGCAGUUAAAAAGCUCGUAGUUGAAUUUCGGGAUCAAUACGUCGGUCGUGCUUUUUUGGUACGCACUGGCGUCAUUGGUUUCUCCUUUCUGACGAACCAUGAUGUCAUUAAUUUGGUGUUAUGGGGAGUUAGGACUGUUACUUUGAAAAAUUAGAGUGUUUAAAGCAGGUAUUAGCUUGAAUACAUUAGCAUGGAAUAAUGAAAUAGGACGUUCGAUCCUAUUUUGUUGGUUUCUAGGAUUGACGUAAUGAUUAAUAGGGAUAGUUGGG